ensembl:lncRNA
CGUUCCGCCGCGUCCCGCCCCGCCGCCCGUCCACGCGUGAGCGGGCGCCGCCGGCCCCUCUCUUGCGACACCGCGUUCCCUCCGGUUCGGUGAGUCCGGCUGCGGUGCCUGCAGCGAAGCCCGGCUGUUACGGAUGAGUAAUGCUUCGCGCUGUCGGUGCGCGGCGGCAGAACACGAGCAGCUCCCUGGCAGCUUCUGGCUGAGGUUAUGUGAACACGCUCACGUACGUUAUGAGGGCUGUGGGAGGCCGCUCUCCUCGGGCCGUGUACGGCAUCCUCUGUCAGAAAAGGUGCGCGUUCUGGAGCCGCGGAGAGUGGUACUUCGUCAGGAUUUGAAUGAAUGCUCUGCAGAAUGGGAGCAGUGCUUCUUAGUGCAGUAAGAGUCUGGAGCCGACAAUGUGAGGACAGCAGCACAGUGCUCUGCAGCCUGCUCCCUACUCGUGUCACACACCAGCAGCUACUGAGCAUCACCUGCCUCUGUGCACCCACCCGGAGAGCUUUUCAGUGGCGUGGGAAAGUCUGUGAGAUACAAUCUCUCCUGAGCGACCCGGCCUUCCCUGCACGCAGUGCUGUGCAUGGCUCUUGGCAGAGCUCCCCCUUCCUGCCCUGCUCCACCUCCUCCUCACUGCUGCUGGGCCACGUUCCCGACAUUGGUGCCCCACAGCUGGAGCUGAGCUGAAGGUCUGCAUGGCUUAGAGGAGAGCAGCGGAAAUGUGAUGCUUCUGCCAAGGCAGUGCACCUGUGGGAAAAGUGGAUGCAACGAGGCCACGUGCACGGGGAUGUAUUGAUUGUGUCAGUGCAUGAGCUACGAGCACAGCCUGGGUAGCAGUGGUUCUCAUCUUGCUGCAGCAGCAGAUGGACAGAAUGAAGCAUUUCAAACGGGCAGGAGGGAGUGAGGACCACGCGGUGACAGCCCCGUGUCCCCCCGGCACACCGAGGGCUGCUGCUGGCGCUGGGGCACACCUCUCGCUGCAGUUGUUUUUCAGCCACCCAGGGCGGGCACACCCUGCUUCCUGCACGGGCGGCCUCGGCGCUUCCUGCUGCUAUAAUUAGAAGGACAGUGGGGAACGGGGCUCAAACCCUCCCUACCCUCUGGGGAUGAUCAUGGGGCUAUACCAGGCACUGUCCUCCCGCUGCGGCUCAGGGGCGGAGUGGCAUCGGGGCAGCGUCCUCUGCCCAACGUGCAGCGGGCAGCAGCGGGGAGCUGCAGCCACCCCGCACCGACACGCAGCCCUGUGGUUGACCUCCCCUCACUGCACCGGGCAGGAGGGCGAUUGUAUCUCUGCGGCUGUGGAAUAAGCUCAGUCUAAACAACUCACCCGAGGGCUGCAGCGAGGCCACUGCCAUCCCGGCUCCCAGCCUGCCGCACACAGCUCCCUGCGGUGCUGCUGCUCCAGAGGGGAGCGAGCCCAUCCCCAAAGGCUCCCUGAGCGCUGUGCCCCCGGGCGUGGGACAGACGCAUGUCGUGUGGCUCUUCUGCCAACACCGCGGCUCUCUGUCUCAGCUGCGCUCCGGACACGCAGGGUGAGGCCACCGGCCCGCCGUGCUGCCCGGGUUGGGAUGCAGCUGAGGACAAGGGGGGGCGGGCAGAUGCAGCCCUACACAGAGAAGAAUCGUCUUUGUGCCAUUUGGGUUGGGAGGGUCAUAUAAUAUCUGCUCGUGGAGCUGGGGCUGGUGACACCGCUGAAAGGAGCGUUGUGAAACUGCAUGAAUAAUGAAUGGCCGUCACAUGAAUGUUUCAGACCCAGUCCUGAGCUCUCCCAGCGCUGCCUGGGAGCAAAAUGGAGGAGAAGCUGUCCAGAAAGAACAAUGCUCCCUUGAGGCAAAACGCGCUGGUGUCACCGCGCUUGGAAACGAGCUGCUGCUGCUGAAUGACUCCCGGGAUUUGCAUGAAGAACCCCAACAGCGGU